rnacentral:misc_RNA from 1 species
GAAAUGCGAUAAGUAAUGUGAAUUGCAGAAUUCAGUGAAUCAUCGAAUCUUUGAACGCACAUUGCGCCCGCCAGCACUCUGGCGGGCAUGCCUGUUCGAGCGUCAUUUCAACCCUCAGAACCCCUUGCGGGAUCUGGCGUUGGGGAUUGGCAUCCAGCCAGCCCCGAAAUCUAGUGGCGGUCCCUCCGCGACCUCCCCUGUGCAGUAGCGAUACCUCGCAGCGGGACAGCGGUCUGACCACGCCGUAAAACCCCCAACUUCUCAAGGUUGACCUCGAAUCAGGUAGGAAUACCCACUGAACUUAAGC